GAGUGAGGCAUGGAGAGCAGAGGGGCCUGCUAAGCCCCUUCCCCUUGGUUUGAACCCAAGGCUCAUUUU
rnacentral:tRNA from 1 species